GAGUCUUUCUGUUUGGAGCUCCGCUCCUGAUUACCACGCCGCUCGACCUCCGACUCAGCGGGGCAGCUGAGGCGCGCAGUGGUGUUCGGAGGGUCCUGGGCAGCGUGUGGCGAUGGUCCAUGGGCAUCCUGUGCACGGGUUCGGGCCCUUCGCGGACUCGCGGCUGGUGAGCGCAUGGAGGGCCACGAAGGCCUGGCCCGCCUUGGGCCACACGUGCUGGCUGUCGCCCCCGGAGCCAGAUGGCUGAGGUGUUCAGGCGCGUCGUGGAGGUUGGCCGAGUGGCCUACGUCUCCUUUGGGCCUCACGCCGGAAAGCUUGUAGCGAUUAUAGAUGUUAUUGAUCAAAACAGGGCUUUAAUUGAUGGACCUUGCACUCAGGUAAGAAGACAGGCCAUGCCUUUCAAAUGCAUGCAACUCACUGACUUCAUCCUCAAGUUCCCACACAGUGCCCGCCAGAAGUAUGAUCCGACAAGCCUGGCAGAAGGCAGAUAUAAAUACAAAAUGGGCAGCCACAAGAUGGGCCAAGAAAAUUGAAGCCAGAAAGAGGAAAGCUAAAAUGACAUAUUUUGAUCAUUUUAAAGUUAUGAAGGCAAAGAAAAUGAGAAACAGAGUAAUCAAGAAUGAAGUUAAGAAGUUUCAAAAAGCAGCUCUUCUGAAAGCUUCUCCCCAAAAAGCAUCUGCUAAGGGUGCUGCUGCUAAAGUUCCAGCAAAAAAGAUGACCACUGCAGGCAAGAAGGCUGCAGCCCAGAAGGUUCCUGCCCAGAAAGCCACAGGCCAGAAGGCAGCACCUCCUCCAAAAGCUCAGAAGGGUCAAAAGGCUCCAGCCCAGAAAGCACCUGCUCCAAAGGCAUCUGGAAAGAAAGCAUAAGAGGCUAUAAUAAAAGUAAUAAAAGAUUCUUUUUGACAUGUUGGAAAAAAAAAAAA